AACGCUAGCUACAGGCUUAACACAUGCAAGUCGAGGGGCAGCACGGGAGUAGCAAUACAACUGGUGGCGACCGGCGCACGGGUGAGUAACGCGUAUGCAACCUACCUAUCAGAGGGGAAUAACCCGGCGAAAGUCGGACUAAUACCGCAUAAAACAGGGGCACCGCAUGGUGAUAUUUGUUAAAGAAAUUCGCUGAUAGAUGGGCAUGCGUUCCAUUAGGUAGUUGGUGAGGUAACGGCUCACCAAGCCGACGAUGGAUAGGGGAACUGAGAGGUUGGUCCCCCACACUGGUACUGAGACACGGACCAGACUCCUACGGGAGGCAGCAGUGAGGAAUAUUGGUCAAUGGGCGAGAGCCUGAACCAGCCAAGUCGCGUGAAGGAAGAAGGAUCUAUGGUUCGUAAACUUCUUUUGCAGGGGAAUAAAGUGCAGGACGUGUCCUGUUUUGUAUGUACCCUGAGAAUAAGGAUCGGCUAACUCCGUGCCAGCAGCCGCGGUAAUACGGAGGAUCCGAGCGUUAUCCGGAUUUAUUGGGUUUAAAGGGUGCGUAGGUGGUUUUAUAAGUCAGCGGUGAAAGUUUGCAGCUUAACUGUAAAAAUGCCGUUGAAACUGUAAGACUUGAGUGUAAAUGAGGUAGGCGGAAUGCGUGGUGUAGCGGUGAAAUGCAUAGAUAUCACGAAGAACUCCGAUUG
rnacentral:rRNA from 1 species